rnacentral:rRNA from 1 species
AACGAACGCUGGCGGCAGGCCUAACACAUGCAAGUCGAGCGAAGCCUUCGGGCUUAGCGGCGGACGGGUGAGUAACGCGUGAGAACGUGCCCUUUGGUACGGAAUAGCCCCGGGAAACUGGGAGUAAUACCGUAUGUGGUCGAGAGACGAAAGAUUUAUCGCCAAAGGAUCGGCCCGCGUUGGAUUAGGUAGUUGGUGGGGUAAUGGCCUACCAAGCCGACGAUCCAUAGCUGGUUUGAGAGGAUGAUCAGCCACACUGGGACUGAGACACGGCCCAGACUCCUACGGGAGGCAGCAGUGGGGAAUCUUAGACAAUGGGGGAAACCCUGAUCUAGCCAUGCCGCGUGAUCGAUGAAGGCCUUAGGGUUGUAAAGAUCUUUCAGGUGGGAAGAUAAUGACUGUACCACCAGAAGAAGCCCCGGCUAACUCCGUGCCAGCAGCCGCCGUAAGAC